rnacentral:lncRNA from 1 species
UCUCGGUGAGCUUCACAGAGGACUUUGUGGCCGGGAGACGGCCAACUAACGCGGUUCUCUUUCACCCAUAGCGUGCCAGUGUGGAUCGUUCUGGAUCGUCACCGACUGUGGGCUCCCCAKGGAAGUGAAGGAAUGCACGUGCGGCGCCAAAGUUGGGGGCACCAACCACACGCCCGAGAAGGGGUUCUCGAGGCAGGAGAUCACRGUGGAUAAAACGGAGAAAGGGUACCUCCUCGAGAGCCCUUCGUUGCGGAGCAACGACCUGGAGCGGUCCCUGUCGCCCGCCCACGUGGGGCUCGCGA